UUUGCUGAAAAGUGACGCGGUUUAGAGAUAAAAUGUGGAUUAGAAAUAACCUGCGUGGAGUAAACAAUGCCAUACGAUUAUCUGGAGCUAAAUUUGCGGUUUAGUGUGCCAUACAUCAUGGGAAUGGAAUGCGUCUGUACUAUAUUACGAUAAAAGUUAUACUUAUACAUGCAGACAUAAUUUCACGCCUGUAAUCCCCCUAAAGGAGUGAGGCUUGAGAGUUAAAAGUAAAAAGACACCUCUCAGUCACUAUUACCUACUACUCACUAGAUACGAAAACGUCAGAUGGAUAUAUAGCUAAGGUCUGAGGGGUGCCACCAUGAGGUCUCGCACCACCUAAAUAUUUUGCUAGGGCCGCCACUGCAGGGUCCUGAUAGACAUCAGUUAUGGUCUAUCAGGG